GGACGGGUGGCAGAGUCUGGCUGAUUGCACCGGUCUUGAAAACCGGCGUCCCGCAAGGGACCGGGGGUUCGAAUCCCUCCCCGUCCGC
rnacentral:tRNA from 1 species